rnacentral:rRNA from 1 species
UACGUAGGUGGCGAGCGUUGUCCGGAUUUAUUGGGCGUAAAGCGCGCGCAGGCGGUGCGGUAAGUCCGCUGUGAAAUCUCCCGGCUCAACCGGGAGGGUGCGGUGGAGACUGCCGGACUGGAGGGACCGAGAGGCCGGUGGAAUUCCCGGUGUAGUGGUGAAAUGCGUAGAGAUCGGGAGGAACACCAGUGGCGAAGGCGGCCGGCUGGGGGUUACCUGACGCUGAGGCGCGAAAGCGUGGGGAGCGAACCG